rnacentral:misc_RNA from 1 species
UCCAUCGCCUCGUAGGCGCGG